AGAUGGAGAUGACGGUGAUGAUGAUGAUGAUGAUGAUGAUCAUCAUCAUCAUCAUCAUCAUCACCAUCAUCA
rnacentral:pre_miRNA from 1 species